UGGGGAAUAUUGGACAAUGGGCGAAAGCCUGAUCCAGCCAUGCCGCGUGUGUGAAGAAGGUCUUCGGAUUGUAAAGCACUUUAAGUUGGGAGGAAGGGCAGUAAGCGAAUACCUUGCUGUUUUGACGUUACCGACAGAAUAAGCACCGGCUAACUCUGUGCCAGCAGCCGCGGUAAUACAGAGGGUGCAAGCGUUAAUCGGAAUUACUGGGCGUAAAGCGCGCGUAGGUGGUUCGUUAAGUUGAAUGUGAAAGCCCCGGGCUCAACCUGGGAACUGCAUCCAAAACUGGCGAGCUAGAGUAGGGCAGAGGGUGGUGGAAUUUCCUGUGUGGCGGUGAAAUGCGUAGGUAUAGGAAGGAACACCAGUGGCGAAGGCGAGCACCUGGGCUCAUACUGACACUGAGGUGCGAAAGCGUGGGGAGCAAACAGG
rnacentral:rRNA from 1 species